CCUGGUUCCUUGGCGUGCCCAGCGUGCGGGUGCUCCUUAUUGUCUCUAGCUCCCUUUGCAAAGAUACAGGCCAGGGGAAUUGCAGGAGUCAGUAACGAAACUGCAUCUAUGGGUUGUGGCAAAGUAGGGGAGGAGCUACUGGCAAGGGAAAAAAGGUAAGAUCCUUGUGUAGAGGGAUUUCCUCAAGGCAUUUGCAAGAUCCAGAGCAGGAGUUCUU